rnacentral:tRNA from 1 species
GCCCGCGUGGCGAAACUGGUAUACGCUGCGGACUUAAAAUCCGCUGGUCCUAGACCGUCCCGGUUCAAAUCCGGGCGCGGGCACCA